UACGUAGGGUGCGAGCGUUGUCCGGAAUUAUUGGGCGUAAAGGGCUCGUAGGCGGUCUGUCGCGUCGGGAGUGAAAACUCAGGGCUUAACCCUGAGCCUGCUUCCGAUACGGGCAGACUAGAGGUAUGCAGGGGAGAACGGAAUUCCUGGUGUAGCGGUGGAAUGCGCAGAUAUCAGGAGGACCACCGGUGGCGAAGGCGGUUCUCUGGGCAUUACCUGACGCUGAGGAGCGAAAGUGUGGGGAGCGAACAGG
rnacentral:rRNA from 1 species